rnacentral:rRNA from 1 species
GUGUACGCUGGCGGUAGGCCUAACACAUGCAAGUCGAACGGCAGCACAGUAAGAGCUUGCUCUUACGGGUGGCGAGUGGCGGACGGGUGAGGAAUACAUCGGAAUCUACUUUUUCGUGGGGGAUAACGUAGGGAAACUUACGCUAAUACCGCAUACGACCUACGGGUGAAAGCAGGGGAUCUUCGGACCUUGCGCGAUUGAAUGAGCCGAUGUCGGAUUAGCUAGUUGGCGGGGUGAAGGCCCACCAAGGCGACGAUCCGUAGCUGGUCUGAGAGGAUGAUCAGCCACACUGGAACUGAGACACGGUCCAGACUCCUACGGGAGGCAGCAGUGGGGAAUAUUGGACAAUGGGCGCAAGCCUGAUCCAGCCAUACCGCGUGGGUGAAGAAGGCCUUCGGGUUGUAAAGCCCUUUUGUUGGGAAAGAAAAGCAGCAGGUUAAUACCCCGCUGUUCUGACGGUACCCAAAGAAUAAGCACCGGCUAACUUCGUG